GUGAACGCUGGCGGUAGGCCUAACACAUGCCAGUCGAACGGCAGCACAGUAAGAGCUUGCUCUUACGGGUGGCGAGUGGCGGACGGGUGAGGAAUACAUCGGAAUCUACUUUUUCGUGGGGGAUAACGUAGGGAAACUUACGCUAAUACCGCAUACGACCUACGGGUGAAAGCAGGGGAUCUUCGGACCUUGCGCGAUUGAAUGAGCCGAUGUCGGAUUAGCUAGUUGGCGGGGUAAAGGCCCACCAAGGCGACGAUCCGUAGCUGGUCUGAGAGGAUGAUCAGCCACACUGGAACUGAGACACGAUCCAGACGCCUACGGGAGGCAGCAGUGGGGAAUAUUGGACAAUGGGCGCAAGCCUGAUCCAGCCAUACCGCGGGGGUGAAGAAGGCCUUCGGGUUGUAAAGCCCUUUUGUUGGGAAAGAAAAGCAGCAGGUUAAUACCCCGCUGUUCUGACGGUACCCAAAGAAUAAGCACCGGCUAACUUCGUG
rnacentral:rRNA from 1 species